GCCAUGCAUGUCUAAGUAUAAACGAUUUAAUCGUGAAACCGCGAAUGGCUCAUUAUAACAGCUAUAAUUUACUUGAUCUUGACACAAUCCUACUUGGAUAACUGUGGUAAUUCUAGAGCUAAUACAUGCAUUAAAGCUCUGACCUCACGGGAAGAGUGCAUUUAUUAGAACAAAACCAAGCGGCUUCGGCUGUUUCUGGUUGACUCAUAGUAACUGAGCUGAUCGCAUGGUCUUGCACCGGCGACGUGUCUUUCAAGUAUCUGCCGUAUCAACUUUCGAUGGUAGUGUAUCUGACUACCAUGGUGAUCACGCGUAACGGAGAAUAAGGGUUCGGCUCCGGAGAGUUCGCCUGAGAAAUCGCGAACACAUCUAAGGAAGGCAGCAGGCGCGAAAAUUACCCACUCUCAGCACGAGGAGGUAGUGACGAAAAAUAACGAGACCGUUCUCUUAUGAGGCCGGUCAUCGGAAUGGGUACAAUUUAAACCCUUAACGAGU
rnacentral:rRNA from 1 species